AGAAAAGGAAAUGCACUAGAAGUUGGAUUUGUUAAUAGCUUUCUCUGACCCGUUAUGAAAUAUUUCAAAUUUGGUAGUUUUUCAGAAGAGUUUACAUCAGCAUUUUGAAGGAGGAUAAUGAGAUCACUUGAAGUCUCCAGAGCUGCUCCCAGGAGAUGAAGGCUAGAAAAGAACAUAAACAGAACUGAAAAUCAAGCAAAUAGGUGUGGGAAGCAAUUUUCUCAGCACACCUGUUGAGGGGAGAAACAAGGCUCCUUCAACCAUCAAUCUGUGGGACCUCAGAGCCCAGCCUGAAAGCAAAGGCGAAACGAAAUACGAAAAUUGCAGUGCAGCAGAAGAGGAGUCAGCUAUCUGCGGGCCUCUGCUGAAAUCCCAUCUUUCGGGUGAGUUGAGAGAAAGGAAGACUCUGGAAAAGGAACCUGUAUAAUCACAGCUUGUUGCUGCUGGGACAGGGCACAAAAAGGGAGUGAAAAACUGCUCGCAAGGUUUCCCUUUAAAAAGUUCAGUUCGUUUUUUAACUCUUACUUUUUCCCGGAAGACUGGUUGCUGUAGGUAAGAAUACACAUGUGUCUUUAGGUGAAAAGCCUUGUGACUGAAAAUCAGGCACUGAUUAUCUCUAUAUAAUUGAUGCUUCAGUCAGUAAGUGAAUGCUUGAGGAAUAAAGAUGCCUUGAAGCCCUGUGGCUCUCAGGCAGCCCUUAACCUCAAUGGAUUAGGAAAAAAACUGAUAUUUUUAUAGUGUGCAUUUUCAAUUAGCAUCGUAAUUAGCAAGUAAAUAAUGCCUAGAUUAAAAUACUAAUUUAGAGAAAUUACAAAAUAUUUCAAUAACACCAAAGGAAUUUUCCACCAGGAAAAUGAUACUGUAAGGAGUAUUACUGGUUUUUGCUACAGAAACCUACAUCCCUACUCUGAACUUCCAUCUCUACUCUGCACCUCUUUGUCUUUUCUGUUUUUCUGUCUCAAAGGUCAGAGGUGUUUUCUAGAUGCAGCACAAGAGCUGGGCUGCCCCAAAGUCAGUGCAGCAGAUGAGCCACCCCCUUUGCAGCACCCUGGGAGCCUGGGAUGGGGCUGGUGCAUCCAGGGAUGGGCAGGUGACAGGGCUCAGCUGUCAGAGUUUUCCAAGGCAGGAAAACUCUGGCAUCAGGGCUGCACUUCCAUCUCCUCUCAUCAUGCACUGGUUGUGGCCAUACAGCCUGGCAGCAUCUCACCAGUUCCUGCUGGAAAAAACACCAUUUGCUGGCCCCAAAACACCAUUCAAAACUAAUGGAAAUGUGUGAGUGUCUCCCACAGGAACAAAUUCAGGGAGAAGCAUCAGCAGCCCCAGUGACAAUUUGAUGGUUGCAUGUUCAGGCAAUGAUUCUGUGGUUACCAAUGUUUAAUUUUAUAAACCUAAAAGUAGCACCAUUGAUUAUAUAAGAA